rnacentral:tRNA from 1 species
AUUAACUCAACUGGUAGAGUAUUUCUCUUACAAAGAAAAGGUUAGCGGUUCAAAUCCGUUAUC